rnacentral:rRNA from 1 species
UACAGAGACUGCAAGCGUUAUUCGGAUUCACUGGGCGUAAAGGGUGCGCAGGCGGCCAAGUGUGUGAGGCGUGAAAGCCCGGGGCUUAACCCCGGAAUUGCACCUCAAACUACUUGGCUAGAGCAUUGGAGAGGGAUGCGGAAUUCCAGGUGUAGCGGUGAAAUGCGUAGAUAUCUGGAGGAACACCGGUGGCGAAGGCGGCAUCCUGGACCGACACUGACGCUGAGGCGCGAAAGCUAGGGUAGCAAACGGG